rnacentral:rRNA from 1 species
UACGUAGGGUCCGAGCGUUGUCCGGAAUUAUUGGGCGUAAAGGGCUCGUAGGCGGUUUGUCGCGUCGGGAGUGAAAACACCGGGCUUAACUCGGUGCUUGCUUUCGAUACGGGCAGACUGGAGGUAUGCAGGGGAGAACGGAAUUCCUGGUGUAGCGGUGAAAUGCGCAGAUAUCAGGAGGAACACCGGUGGCGAAGGCGGAUCUCUGGGCCGAUACUGACGCUGAGGAGCGAAAGCGUGGGGAGCGAACAGG